GGGGCAUGCGGAGCAGCAUUUGAGUGUUCCCUUGGAAGACGUCACCAGGCUCAGUUACAUAUUUGUACUUCGAGGGCACUUGCCCUGAGCCAUUCAGCAGGGAGCUGAACUGCACAGUCAGCCCUGAGGAAUACUUGCAAUGGCUCCUGUCCUUACAACCAAAGCAGACAACAUCAGGAGAUGCUUCCAGACAGAAAGUGGAAUGUGUGGUCUCCAAAAAUGUCCAAGUGGUUAUUAACAGUGAUGGUCAGCAUGCCAUAAAAGAGAAG
rnacentral:lncRNA from 1 species